rnacentral:rRNA from 1 species
AGAUCCCUUGAAGAUGACAAGGUAGAUAGGUCCGAGGUGGAAGCGUGGUGACACGUGGAGCUGACGGAUACUAAUCGAUCGAGGACUUAACCAA